rnacentral:rRNA from 1 species
GACGAACGCUGGCGGCGUGCUUAACACAUGCAAGUCGAACGGAAAGGCUCCAGCUUGCUGGAGUACUCGAGUGGCGAACGGGUGAGUAACACGUGGGUGAUCUGCCCUGCACUUCGGGAUAAGCCUGGGAAACUGGGUCUAAUACCGGAUAGGACCGCACUUUGGUGUGUGUGGUGGAAAGGUUUUUCUGGUGUGGGAUGAGCUCGCGGCCUAUCAGUUUGUUGGUGGGGUAAUGGCCUACCAAGACGGCGACGGGUAGCCGGCCUGAGAGGGUGGACGGUCGCAUUGGGACUGAGAUACGGCCCAGACUCCUACGGGAGGCAGCAGUGGGGAAUAUUGCACAAUGGGGGAAACCCUGAUGCAGCGACGCCGCGUGGGGGAUGAAGGCCUUCGGGUUGUAAACUCCUUGCGCUAGGGACGAAGCUUUUUGUGACGGUACCUGGAGAAGAAGCACCGGCUAACUACGUG